GUCUAUGGCCGUACCACCCUGCAUAUACCUGAUCUUGUCUGAUUUUGGAAGCUGAGCAGAGUCAGGCCUGGUUAGUACUUGGAUGGGAGACCACUUUGGAAUACCAGAUGCUGUAGGCA
ensembl:rRNA 5S_rRNA 5S ribosomal RNA